GACGAACCGUGCGAACGUUGUUCGGAAUCACUGGGCUUAAAGGGCGCGUAGGCGGCUUGGCAAGUCCGGGGUGAAAGCCCCCAGCUCAACUGGGGAAGUGCCUUGGAUACUGCCAUGCUCGAGCGAGAUAGGGGUCGUGGGAACUUCCGGUGGAGCGGUGAAAUGCGUUGAUAUCGGAAGGAACGCCGGUGGCGAAAGCGCACGACUGGAUCUCUUCUGACGCUGAGGCGCGAAAGCCAGGGGAGCAAACGGG
rnacentral:rRNA from 1 species